CAGUGGCUCCGUAUUCUGCCUCAUCCCAGCUUCCACCAUAGGAUCUUCUUUUCAAGACACCUGGCUUGAGUCUCUGAGAUUGUCAUUGCUGAAGUGAAAGCCUGUGCUACAGAGGAAGAUGGGAACAGCAAGAUUAUGGACUACAGCUGCCUGAGUUGCAGCAUGCUGCUGGUGCUGGUGUACCUUGGUCAUGACCUGGGAGGA
ensembl:lncRNA